rnacentral:rRNA from 1 species
UAACACAUGCAAGUCGAACGAUGAACCACUUCGGUGGGGAUUAGUGGCGAACGGGUGAGUAACACGUGGGCAAUCUGCCCUGCACUCUGGGACAAGCCCUGGAAACGGGGUCUAAUACCGGAUACUGAUCUACUUGGGCAUCCAAGUGGUUCGAAAGCUCCGGCGGUGCAGGAUGAGCCCGCGGCCUAUCAGCUUGUUGGUGAGGUAAUGGCUCACCAAGGCGACGACGGGUAGCCGGCCUGAGAGGGCGACCGGCAACACUGGGACUGAGACACGGCCCAGACUCCUACGGGAGGCAGCAGUGGGGAAUAUUGCACAAUGGGCGAAAGCCUGAUGCAGCGACGCCGCGUGAGGGAUGACGGCCUUCGGGUUGUAAACCUCUUUCAGCAGGGAAGAAGCGAAAGUGACGGUACCUGCAGGAAGAAGCGCCGGCUAACUACGUGCCAGCAGCCGCGGUAAUACGUAGGGCGCAAGCGUUGUCCGGAAUUAUUGGGCGUAAAGAGCUCGUAGGCGGCUUGUCACGUCGGUUGUGAAAGCCCGGGGCUUAACCCCGGGUCUGCAGUCGAUACGGGCAGGCUAGAGUUCGGUAGGGGAGAUCGGAAUUCCUGGUGUAGCGGUGA